rnacentral:pre_miRNA from 1 species
GCUCUUUUCACAUUGUGCUACUGUCUGCAUCUGUCACUAGCAGUGCAAUGUUAAAAGGGCAU